AUUGAACGCUGGCGGCAGGCCUAACACAUGCAAGUCGAGCGAGCGGCGGACGGGUGAGUAAUGUAUGGGGACUGCCCGAUAGCGGGGGAUAACUACUGGAAACGGUGGCUAAUACCGCAUACUAUCGGAUAACCCAUGUGGGAUUAGCUAGUAGGUGGGGUAAGGGCUCACCUAGGCGGGUAUCUCUAGCUGGUCUGAGAGGAUGAUAAGCCACACUGGGACUGAGACACGGCCCAGAUUCCUACGGAGGAAGUAGUGGGGAAUAUUGGACAAUGUGGGCAAGCCUGAUGCAGCAAUGCCGCGGGGAUGAAGAAGGCCUUAGGGUUGUAAAGUACUUUCAGCGGGGAGGCGUUACCCGCAGAAGAAGCACCGGCUAACUCCGUGCCAGCAGCCGCGGUAAUUC
rnacentral:rRNA from 1 species